AGACGUCUACAUUAGAUACCCGUGUAGUCCCAGCCGUAAACUAUGCGCGUUAGGUGUAUCGGUGACCACGAGUCACCGAGGUGCCGAAGGGAAACCGUGAAACGUGCCGCCUGGGAAGUACGGACGCAAGGCUGAAACUUAAAGGAAUUGGCGGGGAGCACCACAACGGGUGGAGCCUGCGGUUUAAUUGGACUCAACGCCGGGAAGCUCACCGGAUAAGACAGCGGAAUGAUUGCCGGGCUGAAGACUCUGCAUGACUAGCUG
rnacentral:rRNA from 1 species